GCAAUUUAAUUAUUGUUUUACCAAUAAUUUCAUUGCCAAUUAUGCCACGUACUUUUGGCCUUGCUCUACAUAUAAAUGAGUCUCAAUCACGUCAUAUGUUAUCUAAAUUUAUUCCUGAGUAUUUAAUUGACCGAGGAAAUUAUUUAUAUGCAGUUUUGUAUCUUAAUGCUGCAAUUUUUAUUGGAGGAACUGUAAUGGUUGCAACAGGAUUAAUGAUCAUUGCAUAUUUUAAACAUGCCUGUGGAAUACUCAAAAUCGCUAGUUAUCGCAUCGUAAAGGCAAUAAAUAUGAGGAACAAUGUUUGCCUAAAGAACGAAGCUAUAAUGUAUAAGGAAAUAAUCUGUGCCAUAAAUAUUCAUCGGACUGCUAUCAAGUUUUCCACAUUUUUAUUUUCC